rnacentral:snoRNA from 1 species
CUACUAAAUGUUGGUUUUGAGGGGAAGAUUUUUCAUCAUCUUUGUCAGCUCAAGCUAUGUAGGGGAAUAAAACCAUACUCCACAGUGAGCUGUGUGAUUUAUGUGCUGUUCAUUACUAUUUUGUGCUCUGAAAAAUU